AAAAGCUCAAAUUUGAAAUCUAGCACCUUCGGUGUUCGAGUUGUAAUUUGAAGAUGGUAACCUUGGGUUUGGCUCUUGUCUAUGUUCCUUGGAACAGGACGUCAUAGAGGGUGAGAAUCCCGUCUGAUGAGAUGCCCAUUCCUAUGUAAGGUGCUAUCGAAGAGUCGAGUUGUUUGGGAAUGCAGCUCUAAGUGGGUGGUAAAUUCCAUCUAAAGCUAAAUAUUGGCGAGAGACCGAUAGCGAACAAGUACAGUGAUGGAAAGAUGAAAAGAACUUUGAAAAGAGAGUGAAAAAGUACGUGAAAUUGUUGAAAGGGAAGGGCAUUAGAUCAGACUUGGUGUUUUACGAUUAUCUUCUCUUCUUGAGCUGUGCACUCGUAUUUCACUGGGCCAGCAUCGAUUCGGAUGGCAAGAUAAUGGCAGUUGAAUGUGGCUUCACUUCGGUGGAGUGUUAUAGCUUCUGCUGAUAUUGCCUGUCUGGAUCGAGGGCUGCGUCUUUUGACUAGGAUGCUGGCGUAAUGAUCUAAUGCCGCCCGUCU
rnacentral:rRNA from 1 species